rnacentral:rRNA from 1 species
AUUGAACGCUGGCGGCAUGCUUUACACAUGCAAGUCGAACGGUAACAGGGUGCUUGCACCGCUGACGAGUGGCGAACGGGUGAGUAAUGCGUCGGAACGUGCCGAGUAGUGGGGGAUAACGCAGCGAAAGUUGUGCUAAUACCGCAUACGUACUGAGGUAGAAAGUGGGGGACCUUCGGGCCUCACGCUAUUCGAGCGGCCGACGUCUGAUUAGCUAGUAGGUGAGGUAAAGGCUCACCUAGGCGACGAUCAGUAGCGGGUCUGAGCGGAUGAUCCGCCACACUGGGACUGAGACACGGCCCAGACUCCUACGGGAGGCAGCAGUGGGGAAUUUUGGACAAUGGGCGAAAGCCUGAUCCAGCCAUGCCGCGUGUCUGAAGAAGGCCUUCGGGUUGUAAUGGACUUUUGUCAGGGAGGAAAUCCCUAGUGCUAAUAACACUGGGGGAUGACAGUACCUGAAGAAUAAGCACCGGCUAACUACGUGCCAGCAGCCGCAGUAACAC